CAACUCCACAUUCCAAGAAAAUAGCUACCAAGGAUAUUGAAAUCCCUGCUCCAAGAACCAUGAACAUUCCUUGGAUAUCGACGAGAGUUAAUCGACGUUCUUCGACUGAUUGUAUUCGUAAAGAUCUCUCACUACUCACCUGUUGAGGAUGCUGAUCUCUGCAUAUCCCAUUUAACAUCACUGGUUAUUUUUUGGACAAGUCCAGCCUGGCUGGCGCGUUGAAUGAUUUCACUAAAUUUUUCCGAGUAUAAAGAUUCCUUAGGCAAAACAAUGCCGACCCCAAAUUGAAUGAAGCAUUCACGACCUAUGUGCAUCAAUGAUCUCUUCGUUUUCCAACUAUGGGCAUCGAUAAAUGACCCUCUGCCACUGUUGGAACAAGUUCAACCUUCCUGAACAACUUCAUUAUUUUUGGUUCAUCAAUUUCCUGGAAAUAAGACUCCCAGCCAUCGUGAUCUGCAUCGUAGAGUGACAGGCUUUCUCGCACCAAUUACUCCACCAACAAGUGGCCCGCAGCUUAUUCCGACUCUCAAAUCAAAAUUAUUAAAAGAAUGGACGUUUACAUCUUCUAAACGUUGUCGCAUGGCAACAGCAUAGUCUACUAAUCUGCAGAGAUGCUCCAUGUCAUCGAUAUCCUUAUCCUGGUUGAAAAGGUCAACUAUUGUGACAAGGUUUUAAACCUAAAAGUAUCUCGUUGAGGAAUUCUACGUACAUUAUGACAGGGGUUUAGCCCAGACGCUGCCAUUCUGAUGCACUCCAUACCCUUAUUCACAUCUUCUGAAUAAAACUCUGUGAAAUUUGGAACGCUGGCAAACAUUACGCCAACUUUGUCUCGCGACUGGGAGUAGAGCUCCUGUAAAUAUCAAGUUUUGAAUGCGACGGAAAGCAUGUAUAAUUCAGCGUGAACCUUGCAUAUUGUACCUCCGGUGCCCUGUCCUGCGUAAGAAAGUGCUUGUUGUUUCCAAAGAAAAUCAAGUCGUGACGUAACCUCGACAAGCCUGCCAUGGUAUGUCACCAUUACAAGAAACAUGGCGAGAAAAAUGAGCAUCUGAGCUGACAGUGGAAUCGUUCGUCUAAAUUGACAGUUGAAUCAUAGUUAAGUUACAUAUGAUUAUCCUAAGUCUUGUAAAUCGAAACUCACGUGUUUUCUUCGUUGAUUCUGAGUGUAAAAUGCUCCCUAUAGAUCACAAGUAUCAGUAAAGCAUAGACGAGCACGAUGAUUGUGGCUAAAGCUGUUUUGACAAGGUUCUACCCUGGGAUUCCUCCACUUUCCAGAUGAUUGGCUAGUGUAACGUCGUAUGACCAAACGUCAAACUGCCAUUUUCUAAGGCCUAAGACACCACAGAGAACUGAACCGCUGUGAAUUCCAAUCCGCAUAUUCAGAUCUGUCUAUGAAAAUGGUUCUCCAAUGGGACGUCACCCAACAAAUAAUGCGGGUCUCUAUCACCCUCCAGCUCCAGCGACACGUAAUCAAUAUCGAUGAUAGAUUAUGAAUUUCCCAGCCAAAAAUUUGGGUUGAUUGAUUUUAAGUUAUUCGAAUACACUGAGCGAUUUUUGGACUUGCAAUUCAGAACAAAUGUCUUUUGGCUUAUGCUUAAAGAUGAGGGAUGCUUUUUAAAUUUUCAGUAAUGAUGAAACGCACCAGAAAGCAGGAGUUUUUCUUGCCUGUUGUUCUCAUUUUGCGUCCUAUGCCUGGUUUCAAGUGAUCUAUGUGUCUCUAAGAAGGCCUGUCGCUGCCCCCUGUCAGUUAAAUAUUUUGUAUACAUGCCCGCCAGAUUGACAGCUACGUAAAGUAGAACAUUUGUAGUAAGUAGACGUGGAAAGCAGACUUCAUUCUAUAAACAAAAAAAACAACAAUAUUGAUAACUUUCAGUUUUGUUCUCAUCAAUUUGCAUUAAUAACUGUACAUGAUAGUUACUCACAUAUUCGGUGUUGUUUUUCAAAUUUAUAACAGACAUAAUUGUAUGUGUCAAGGCAGUGCCAAAGCCGGCAAGAACACACCACCGCAGAGGAAGUGGUAGCAUAGCAUAGGGAGCGUAAACAACGAAUAGAAUGUACCAAACUAGACGUUGCUGGGUAGAAAAGGUCAGAUUUGCACCAAUGAAACCUGCAACAGGGUUUAAAAAAACAAAAGGAAAAACAAUGAAUCACCUCCUUUUAUUAUACCACAUGGGUGAAUAAGCUGCUAUAGAACACUUGAUUGAUUCUGAACACAGUGGCGCAAGUUAAUUAGCUGCGAAUUGUUGGUGACAUAGGAAGGGCCACAGACUAGUGGAUAUCUUUUUAAUUUAUCAAGUAAUUGUUAAACUAUGAUUCUAUAUACAUCUACGUUAUUGUAGCUUGGGAAAUCUAAUAACACCAUCACAGUUAUUUUAGCUACUGCAAUUGAUGUCCAUAGUUUUUUUGAUGAACAAAUAGGUGUGAUGUUUUAGGUAAUAUACCUUGUGAGUUGACAAGGAGCCAGGUGAAUAUUGAAGCCCAGUAUAAAUACUUGUUCGAAAAGCAUCGCCACCAGCCAAGAAUGCAUACUACAAGAUUUGCCAGCAUGCAGCACACCGUCCAAGACAAGGACUCUGUCAAGCCGGUAGAAUUUUUGUUUCUCCUCCACAGCCAAAUUGUCAUGAGAGCGAUCUGCAAAUUAUAGCUUCAAUUGGUUCUUCAUCUUCUGUUGGUGGUUUACGAUCUUCCCAAGCUGCGAGCGCCUCUCUUCCAAGACGUUCUGAAGUCAAUUUCUUUACUGCUUUUAUCCAAAGCUGUUUCCUCGGUGAUAUUCCAAGCCUAGAGAUGGAGAAUACCAAAAAAGAGGGAAGCAAGAAGGAGACCAAGCAAAUUUAAAAUCUAAAUUUGCUCCAAUUUCAAAUCUCUGAAGAUCAAUGACGCUAUCGGGCAAAUACAAGAAAAAUACGAGAAGAAAGAACUGGCCGAUCAAAAGAACAUAUAGAUCAUUCAGAGAGACAUGAAUUUAAGUAAUUCAAUCAUACUAGCUUCUAAAGAAAUUUUAAUAAGAAAAAAUUCAAUCGUAUCAUAAUAAUUAGGUACAAAAUAAUAACAAAGAGAAUUGCGACAGUAUAAUUUGUCACUUAUAAAAAGAUUGCUUGUGCCAAAGACCUAAUUUCAUUUUGGAUUCGCUUCCAAAAUCCGCUCCAAUUCAAUGGGAUGAUUUUAGAAGUUAGAAAAUUCACUUAAAGACUCAUCAUUUUUCCAAAUUUUAACAUGAAAAAGGAAAUUAAAUGCAUCAUACUGUGUACCUUAAACAUUCGGUGGAUUGAACUGAAAAAUCCAAAUAAGUAUGCAACGACUAAAUUCUUCAAUGCACUUGAUUAACUAGCCGGUUUUCGUUUUACACACCAUAAACACACCAAUACAACACUCAUGACAUUAUGCCAUAACAAAAAAUGCUUAACUGAUAAUGUCAUCGUUGAUCAAUGGUCUCAUCUUACCGUAAUAAGCAUUAUCAAUUUGAAAUUCAUUAAUAUCAAUAAUAAUGUGAGUAGAAUCAAAAAUAAAAUUGAAAUUCAAUCUGAUCCAGUCGAUAACUGUAUAUUAAUUUGUUUUCAUGUUUUUCACAAAUGAAUAGAUAAAAAAAACUAAUAGUUUUGAAAAAUAUCAACAAACACUUUUAAUUUUUAUAUUUUAUUCGUGUUCGCAAUCUUUUUAUUUGUUGCGUGUAAUAAAUUCUCUUUGUAGCGGAGUAUGUUUCGAGUGGUCCGUCCAGUAAGACGAGACUUCAUGAACUAAACUAGUGGGGUUGAUAAAUAUCGUCGUAGUUUACCGCGCCGCUCGCGUUGAACGAGAUUUUGAUCAGUUUUAAAAGGCCAACUCUGAACAAACAAAUCAACGAACGGCUUUGGAAACGCUCAGGAUAUUGAGUAAUAAUAGAUAAAUACCAUCGAAACUUCAUACCAACGUAAUUGUUGAUCCGACAGCACAUUGCAUAGCAUGAAAAAAUAGAAAAAAAAAGCGAAACUAGUCGAAAUUGGAAAUUUAUAGUCCUGAUUCAAGAAUGUAGAUACGAUUAAGCAAUGAAAUUUAUAAACCUUUUUUCGUAUUUUCCGAUUUAUUCAUAAGUAAAACGAAUUUGAAAAGAUAAAAUGAAUGUUUAAAUUAAUCGAUUAAUCUUUUUUCAAACGGUAAUUGAUUUAAAAUUAUGAUGUAAAACCUGAGGAACUGAAAUUGUAUUAUUUCAGAAUGACUGACAUUUCAAUUGAUAGAAAUUCAUCUCGGGAUAAUUCAAAAUCGUCACCUCCGUCAACGAGUAUUCAAAUUCUAUGAUUCAAAUAUGGCGGCUUCAGUCUGAUUCGAUUGUUCGAUCGAAAAGUAUCGACCUCUUCUAUAAUUCACACACUGCUUAGUAUAAAUCAGUGUGUAUCAGUGGUAUGCACAGCGCACUAUUCUUCAGUCAAUGGUAUGUAUAUAAGUAAAUUUACUGGAAGCCUAUAAUUCUGAAUCUACAGAAAUGUAUUGCGCGCAAAUUUCCUUGUCUGAAAAUAACAAAAUUCCCCCCUCUGCCCUCAAGUAAUUCGUUUCAGAAAAAAAUCUAUUUCAAAAAUAACAAUCAAAGCGAUAAAUACACUUUUUUGACCAAUCAAGAAGGCAUCGUGAACAAAAUUUCAGAAUUGCGCGUCUCGAGUCAUAUUAACACGGAUUCAAAUUUCCGGUGGAAAUACGCCAUAUGUUUUCAAUUCAACCAAUAACAUCACCGUUGCCGUACAACGUGAACAAUUUUCCGUUUAAAUUCCAUCAAAUCUAGCCUUGCAAAUUGCCUCAAAUCUUUCAACAUCUUUUGAUUCUCGAAAACUAUCAUCAAAUGAUUCUUCAUCUUAUUCGUUUCACAAUAAAAAUAUUGUUUUUAAUUCUUAGGCCAUGAAAAUAUUCCCACUCCCAAAUAAGAACUAUUUUCUUCCGCGUAACAAAAUGGCAGUUCUUAGGUCCUGUAUAUAACGUAGGAGCGGAAUACUAUCCCUGCCUCUUCCUCAUUAAGAGUUGAGUUGUGUUCACGUGUGGUUGUGUCUCCUUUUUCCACAAAAAUAGGUCACACAACCCACCUCCAUUCGUGAAUAAUUAACUCUUCUAAGAAAAAAAAUUAAAAAAAAAUAAAAAAAAAAACCC